CGCACCUUGCACCUUUUGGUAUUCCGAAAGGUACAUCUGUUUGAGUGUCAUGAAUCUCUCAACCUGUACUCUUUUUAUAGGGUAUGAGUGUUGGAUGUUGAGCGUUGCUGAGUUUCCCAGCUCGCUUUAAAUGCAACAGCAGUCUUAAUACACUCUGGAUCGACUCGACGUGAUAAGAUCUUCGUUGAGGAUGCUUUUGUUAGCAGCCAGAUUGUAUAUGAGAUGCUCCCAAACCUGUAGCAGCGUCGUCUGCACCAUCUCACAUUUAGACCUCAAAUCAGAUGGGACUACCCGCUGAACUUAA
rnacentral:misc_RNA from 1 species